ensembl:lncRNA
UUUCUAAAAAAUAUCAAAUUUAAUUUGGUUAUAAAAGUUGUAUUUUUUCACAUGCACACCCACACAUAAUUAAUCAUCAUAAAUAAUGUCCAACGACUUCUCUUUUUCUUGUUUUUUUUCAUAUUUUUGUCUUUUUUUGUACCUUGAUUCACAAAGCAAGCACAUACGGUGGACCGAUACAUCUGAUUUCAAAGGACACUAUGGAGAAUGCUUGCAGUCUUUUACUGGGAGAGGAAAUCUCAGUGCACUCAAAAAAAGGCUGUCGUAAAAUCAAGUAGAAACAUUUAGAAAUUAUCUACAAAUGGAUCGAAGUACAAAAAGAGCUACAGCGUUUAGAGACACUACACCCAUUCACAAGUGAAUGAUUUGGUUUUUGGAACACCAUAUUAUUUCAGCUUUAUGACUGAUUAAGAGAGAAACUAUACAGAAAGUAGCUUUGGAACAGAAAUAAUUCAAUGUAAACCUAUUGCCAGUCAAACUUUUCCUACCUACAUUCACUUUACACCACCAUCUCUUGUCAUUGCAUGUCAUCAACAACAUUAAUAAAUCACAAAGACCCUGUUUCACGCUAUUAACUCACAUCUGACAUCGUUCAAGUGCAACUUUACAUAAAGAACAGCUGGAGAUAAACUGGGUCGGAUGGACAUUUAAAACUGAACAGAAACCAGAGAAGAUUUCAAAUUAUUAAAGCUAUGAGUCACACCACCAAUCCAGGUAGUAAUUCAAUUCUUCAGCGCUUCCAGUCAUCUCCACAGAAAAACAAAAUGCUGGUACAGUAUGCAGGUCCUUUCUGUAAGGGAUCCAAGCUAAUAUUUGAACUGUUAUUUCAGUAACCUUGUAGAAUUAACACACUGUCUCCCCUGAAGCCGAAAACAUUCACAACUAUAUAGCUUGUGAUCAGUGAAAGAGAAAGUUAGCAUUGCAGUUUGAAUGGGGAGAAAUGCAUAGAAAUGGACAUUAAGCAGAAGAUAAAUCUGAGAAUUAAUAUCUGAGGCAAAAUAUUUUUCAAGUCAGGAGAUUUUUUUAAAUUAUUUUUCCUAUUUAUUUCAAUUUAAUUAGCUUGCCAAGCUAUGUAUUUUCCAAUUAGCCUGGGUUUCAAAAAAUGAAACAAAAAUGUUUUUUAGUUUAUUUUUAAAGUCUGCUCACAGAUGAAUAUGUAAAAAGCAGAUUUCUACUGAACACAAGAAGAAGUUUAAACAAAAUGAAUUUUAAGUGAAACCAAAUAUUGGAAUACUUUCAAACAAAUGAGGAAAAAGUACAUUUUGAAGUAUGUAUGUUGGCACUGAAUGCUUACAUUCAAUUCCACUAAUCACACAGAACAUUUCAUUUAGAUUUGGAGCGAACUGAAAAAAAAAAACUGCUCAAAUAGACAGUCGGCGUGACAAUCUGCAGGAGUCAUUUCUACUCAUCUGAUCACACUUUCUGUUGCAGAUCUCUUAGUGGUUUUAUGCAAACAAAUUUGCUUUUCAUUACUUGAGUAAACACAUAAAACAUUCAGCAAAAUCAACAAACUAAAGUAACAAGAGAACAUUGAAAUUUUUGAUUGGAGUCUGAAGUCAAGAAUUUGAGUUUAUCUGCUUGUUUCAUAAAUUAUUCAAUCAUUGCAGAUCACAGGAAUAAAUUAAGAUCUUUUCCACAGCAGAUUCUCUUUUAAUAAACUGUGUAACAUAUUAAUUUUGUAUGAUAUAAUCCUUAUAUACAAUAUAUGAGUACAAGUCAUGUAGAGUGUAAAUGGAAGCGAUAGAAACUCCAAGUCAAACAUAUUUCUUUCCACAGGUAGCUGCAAGAAAACCAGAGAAAAAAAAUGCACGCCUUGACAUUUCUGAUUUGUAGACUUCAUGUCCCACAAACUGUAUAUCGACGUGAGACGACCAAACUAAACAGAGCACAGGCGAUGGAGGUAGCAGCACAUCACUAGAUCACAGGACCAAGAACUACAUGGCCUCUCCUUGGAAAAAAGAAAACUAAAAAACUAAACAAAAAAAAGUCAAUAUGAAAGGUGUAAAACAUGAAUGCGUCACAUUCUGCCUUACACACACACACACACACACACACACACACACACACAGGCACACGAAAUAUGUCUUUUACCAAUCGUUAGACAAAACACCGACCCACCUUUGUGCAAAAAGAAUAGAUAGACACAAAAAGUUCGUCUGGAACUAGGCGUUUCAUGACAGUUUGACAGCAAAUAUUGUUCUCAAAAAUGACAAAGCACAAGCAACCCGUCAUAAAACUUAAAAAAAAAUUUUAAAAAAAAACCUUGGUGUAAGUCAACCUUGUAAUCAAAAUGAGGAGUGUCAUGCUCAUAUUGUUUUCGUAAAAGGCCACUGAGACAGCAAAGCUUGCCUGGUGUUUCUGACAUUAAUGCCCUGUUGCCAGUCUGCUAUUCUGCUUUCUUUUUAACAUCUUCCAUGACAGAAAAUUCCUCUCUGCUGAAUCACAGGUGCAAGUGGACAUGUUUCCUCUUCUUCCCACUAAUGCUACCACCCCUCCAUGAUAUUGCACUGAAUAAAGACUUUAGCAGCCGGCAUUACUUCACAGAAUGCCUCAAUAACAGUGUAGUCUAUUUCCUUGAAGGAGUUUGGUGCCUGUUUCCUUGCAGUGACAUCAAGACUCCACAAAAACUGAUGAUUUCUCUCUUUAUUUUUUUGCUGAGAAAAGCCUUUUUGGAAACUUAUAUGUAACCAGAUGCUUAGUUUUCACAGCUACCCUGCUUUUAAAAUAAACUUUAAGAGAAAUGAGGAAAAAAAAACAUGUCAUGAAAAUCCUAGUUGGUGUUUUUUUUUUCUUUUCUUGAUUUAAAAUACAUCACAGUAAUAUGUUUUUUUGUGUCUGCAGGUCACCUCACUCAUCAUUUUGGCACUGCACUGUACAGAAUUUAGCUGAUUCGUAUCCAUCACUGAACAUGAAUAAUCGUUAUAUAUCAAAUAGGCUCCCGCAGUCCAGGAGACAAAGCUCACAUCCUCUCUGUCACCAGUUGUUAGAUCAGAGUUGAUUGUAUGGAUGCAAUAUACAGAGCCCAGCAUGUGCACGUAUUGUACAGUAAUGCUCCUUUUUUUGUUUUAUUUCACAGGGGAGAGUCUCUUCAGAAGCUUCUUCCCCUUGGAAAGUAGUCCUUUCUUCUUCUUGUUGGCCAGAUCUUGGUCUCGGGGGUCCAGCGGAACAUGGGGGCCCCUGGUAGGGCUCAGGGGCCUCAUGGUGCCCGGGAGGAGGGGACGGACGAUCGGGGACGGCGCCCGGACGGGUAUGGUGUCGUUGGUGACUGUUUCGGUGGUUUCUGUGGUCACCUGGGGAGAGAAGUGAUGGGGGAGGUAUGGAGGCAUGGAGCAGCGAAUUACAAAUGAAGCAACAUUUUCAUUCUGCCUGUCUGUGCUCCUCAACAAACUCUAAAACAAAAACUCUGACGGUUCCUGCUUUUAAUGGCUUGAUUGGAUUUCUACAAAAACACAGUGAUGGAAUUUUAAUCGCUUUCGUGUUAUGAGCAGAUUUCAAAUGAAUUCUUUGUUGAAAAACAAACAUAAUUUCUUCUUCUGAAGUGACUUCAGCUGAAUUUGUGGAAGGUUAAAUGAUUCUUAAAGACCCUGGAAAUUUGGCUUCAGGCAUUUUUCUGAAAACAUCAAAAAUUUAAGACUUAAAAGGCAACAAUCAGAUAUGAAAAUGUGACAAAUUGAAGGAAAGAAACAAAAAGUUGGCUCUUA